GACGAACGCUGGCGGCGUGCCUAAUACAUGCAAAUAGAACGCUGAAGGAGGAGCUUGCUCUUCUGGAUGAGUUGCGAACGGGUGAGUAACGCGUAGGUAACCUGCCUGGUAGCGGGGGAUAACUAUUGGAAACGAUAGCUAAUACCGCAUAAGAGUAGAUGUUGCAUGACAUUUACUUAAAAGGUGCAAUUGCAUCACUACCAGAUGGACCUGCGUUGUAUUAGCUAGUUGGUGGGGUAACGGCUUACCAAGGCGACGAUACAUAGCCGACCUGAGAGGGUGAUCGGCCACACUGGGACUGAGACACGGCCCAGACUCCUACGGGAGGCAGCAGUAGGGAAUCUUCGGCAAUGGACGGAAGUCUGACCGAGCAACGCCGCGUGAGUGAAGAAGGUUUUCGGAUCGUAAAGCUCUGUUGUAAGAGAAGAACGAGUGUGAGAGUGGAAAGUUCACACUGUGACGGUAUCUUACCAGAAAGGGACGGCUAACUACGUG
rnacentral:rRNA from 1 species